AUCUAUAGCAACAGAAAACAACUAAAAAUUAAAAACAAAUAUAUAGUUUUAGGUCUAAAGUGUAUUUUUUUUUACUUUUAUACGUUUUUACCAAAUUUUUUUUUAAAAAUGUUGCAAUCAUUUCAAAUAAAGAUACAGUUUAAUAAUAAUAAUGAUAAUAAUAAUUACUCUUAUAAUAGUAAUAAUAAUAUACAUCAUGAGCAAAAUAUAUAACAUUAAAUUGAUAAACAUUACUAUGAUUCACAUUGCAUUGCUGUGGUUUUACCGAAUUACACAUUUUCACUGGAUGGAAAUGAAACUUAUGGCUUAACUGAAAUAAGAUUAAAUUAAUUAAAAAAAAAAGAACAAGAAGAACAAGAGAAAUUAAAUAUCCUGGUUCUUGGUGGCAUUUUUGCUGCUUCAUGGUUUUUAAGAAGUAAUUAAAAUGGAGUAAAUAAUAUACGAAGAGGAAAAAAGGAAUUAGCUUAUCAGCGGCAUUCCAGCUUUUUGGUUAUUAGAAAAUGCUUGAAUUGGAAUGAUGUAGAAGGUGAAGAAAUCGUGAUCGUCGUAGAUUGCACUCAACGUUGAAGACAAUCUAGCCGCAUCUGCGGCUGAUUACGCCGCUGCUGUUUGGCUUUUUUUUUGAUUUUGGCAUUAUUUGUUCUCAACUCAAAAUUCACAAAAUUCUUAACGAUUAUCAAGGCAUAUAUAUACUAAGUUUUGUAAAUUAAAAUGUAUUUCCAAAUUUUGCGUGUGGAGUUUGAAGUUUCGAAACAAGAGCGGCUCUAGAAUGAAAAUUGUUUGUUAAAUAAAUAUUCUUUGGUCUUCAUU